rnacentral:lncRNA from 12 species
UGGGGGAGUCACCUGUGCGUGGUUGAGGGGACAGGUGUGCAGUGGGCGUGGCCCAGGUGUGCUGUGCUCCUCCUGGCCUCGCCCUGAGCUCACCUGGGCUCACCUGGGCUCACCUGAGCUCACCUGGGCACACCUGGGCGCACCUGGAUGGACAUGGACACACCUGCACACACCUGGAGGAGUCACCUGUGCGUUUAUGGGCGUGGCCCAGGUGUGUGAGCGAGCCCCAGGUGUGCUGGUGCCACCCUGAGCUCACCUGGGCACACCUGGAUGGACGUGGCCACACCUGGGGGAGUCACUGGGUGUGGUCCAGGUGUGCUGGUGCCGCUCCUGUCCCCACCCUGAGCUCACCU